UACGUAGGGUGCGAGCGUUGUCCGGACUUAUUGGGCGUAAAGAGCUUGUAGGCGGUCUGUCGCGUCUGCUGUGAAAAUCCGGGGCUCAACCCCGGACUUGCAGCGGGUACGGGCAGACUAGAGUGUGGUAGGGGAGACUGGAAUUCCUGGUGUAGCGGUGAAAUGCGCAGAUAUCAGGAGGAACACCGAUGGCGAAGGCAGGUCUCUGGGCCACUACUGACGCUGAGAAGCGAAAGCAUGGGGAGCGAACAGG
rnacentral:rRNA from 1 species